rnacentral:rRNA from 1 species
UACGUAGGCAGCAAGUGUUGUUCGGAGUUACUGGGCGUAAAGGGUGCGUAGGCGGCUUUUUAAGUUUGGUGUGAAAUCUCCCGGCUCAACUGGGAGGGUGCGCCGAAUACUGAGAGGCUAGAGUGUGGGAGAGGAAAGUGGAAUUCCUGGUGUAGCGGUGAAAUGCGUAGAUAUCAGGAGGAACACCGGUGGUGUAAACGGCUUUCUGGACCAUAACUGACGCUGGAGGCACGAAAGCUAGGGGAGCAAACGGG